rnacentral:misc_RNA from 1 species
UUAAGUUCAGCGGGUAUCCCUACCCGAUCCGAGGUCAACCUUGUGAUGUCUCCAUCGAUUUUCCGGCACGAUCCCCCGACCACGAGCGAAUUGAUUCACGACGCUGAGAUUCGGGCGGUCCGGCCGACGACUUUGAGGCCCGGGUCACCCCCGGGGCCCAAUACCAAGCCAGGCUUGUGUGGUGAAAUGACGCUCGAACG